AUGUCAGUGCGUUCUGGAGGACGGAUAAUAUAUAAGCCAGUUCUUGACACGCUAUCUUACAAGGAAACAUCUGAGACCAUCAGUCCUUUCAAGCACGGAUCGCAGUGCCCAGUGGUCAAUACCCUUACUUUUAUCCAGUGUCUGCUUCAUUUAAACUUAAUCAACUCCAUCAACGAACUGGAACAGGGAAACGUCCCUGCGGCUUCUAAUGUGAGGAAAAACACGGAAUGACAAGUGUGGGAAAGAGCAAGCACUAAAUUACUGUCAGAAAAAUAAACGGAGUAGCACAGUGGUGCUCGGUGAUUUACGGGGGCAAUUAGUCACCACCCCACGGCGCUGCUGAGGACAGCACGGCAGCAGACGCGUCAGGCCUGAGAGGAAGAAGAGGCUUUGCACUGCUUUCCAGACAACUUUUCAAACAAGAGAGGAUAUUUGAGCACAUUAGGUUCCAUGUCUUCAUUCUGGGUGCCCACCCUUCACAUUAUUCAACCAACCUAAUACAUAAACGUAUUUUUAACACAAUAUUAACCUGUUCUGUGUGUUAAAAAGACUCCAACUGCAGCUUUUUUCUCUCCUGCUGUCCAGAGUAGGUUUUUCCCACCUCUUAAAUGAAACAAACCUUUCUCCACUCCCAAAUUGUCCCCCUGAUGUGUGCCUUCGGUCUGUCUCAUUACUUCUUGCCUCUUGCUAUCAUGUUCUGUAUUUGCUUGGAGCCA